rnacentral:rRNA from 1 species
UACGGGGGGGGCAAGCGUUGUUCGGAUUUACUGGGCGUAAAGGGCGCGUAGGCGGCCAGCACAAGUCAGUUGUGAAAUCUCCGGGCUUAACUCGGAAAGGUCAACUGAUACUGUGCGACUAGAGUGCGGAAGGGGCAACUGGAAUUCUCGGUGUAGCGGUGAAAUGCGUAGAUAUCAGGAGGAACACCAAUUGCGAAGGCAGCUCGCUGGGACGUUACUGACGCUGAGACGCGAAAGCGUGGGGAGCAAACAGG